rnacentral:rRNA from 1 species
UGGGUGAUCUGCCCUGCACGUUCGGGAUAAGCCGUAGGGAAACGUGGGUCUAAUACCGGAUAGGAGCCAUUUUUAGUGUGAUGGUUGGAAAGUUUUUUCGGUGUAGGAUGAGCUCGCGGCCUAUCAGCUUGUUGGUGGGGUAAUGGCCUACCAAGGCGUCGACGGGUAGCCGGCCUGCGAGGGUGUACGGCCACAUUGGGACUGAGAUACGGCCCAG